AUUGAACGCUGGCGGCAUGCCUUACACAUGCAAGUCGAACGGUAACGGGUCUUCGGAUGCUGACGAGUGGCGAACGGGUGAGUAAUACAUCGGAACGUGCCUAGUAGUGGGGGAUAACUACUCGAAAGAGUGGCUAAUACCGCAUGAGAUCUACGGAUGAAAGCAGGGGAUCGCAAGACCUUGUGCUACUAGAGCGGCCGAUGGCAGAUUAGGUAGUUGGUGGGAUAAAAGCUUACCAAGCCGACGAUCUGUAGCUGGUCUGGGAGGACGAUCAGCCACACUGGGACUGAGACACGGCCCAGACUCCUACGGGAGGCAGCAGUGGGGAAUUUUGGACAAUGGGCGCAAGCCUGAUCCAGCAAUGCCGCGUGCAGGAUGAAGGCCUUCGGGUUGUAAACUGCUUUUGUACGGAACGAAAAGCCCUGGGCUAAUACCCUGGGGUCAUGACGGUACCGUAAGAAUAAGCACCGGCUAACUACGUGCCAGCCGCCGCCGUAAUAC
rnacentral:rRNA from 1 species